AUUGAACGCUGGCGGCAGGCCUAACACAUGCAAGUCGAACGGUAGCACAGAGAGCUUGCUCUCGGGUGACGAGUGGCGGACGGGUGAGUAAUGUCUGGGAAACUGCCCGAUGGAGGGGGAUAACUACUGGAAACGGUAGCUAAUACCGCAUAACGUCGCAAGACCAAAGUGGGGGACCUUCGGGCCUCACACCAUCGGAUGUGCCCAGAUGGGAUUAGCUAGUAGGUGGGGUAAUGGCUCACCUAGGCGACGAUCCCUAGGUGGUCUGAGAGGUUGACCAGCCACACUGGAACUGAGGCACGGUCCAGACUCCUACGGGAGGCAGCAGUGGGGAAUAUUGCACAAUGGGCGCAAGCCUGAUGCAGCCAUGCCGCGUGUAUGAAGAAGGCCUUCGGGUUGUAAAGUACCUUCAGCGGGGAGGAAGGCGGUGGAGUUAAUAACUUCACCGAUUGACGUUACCCGCAGAAGAAGCACCGGCUAACUCCGUGCCAGCAGCCGCGGUAA
rnacentral:rRNA from 1 species